rnacentral:lncRNA from 1 species
GAAAGUCAUAGCCUCACUAGGAUCACUAGGAUGCAACGUUCAGUUUGAGAAGUAACAUAUGAAGGGGUCAUUGAAGCAUUCGCUCAGCCGAUUCAUUCAGACGAUGGACUCAUUUGAGAACUAAUCACUGUGUUGCGAAGAGGCGCAACGGCUCUGCUGUGAAUUGGUUUGAAACUAGCCUAUUUUCGUCGACUAUAGAGCAAAAUCGGACAAUACUGUGUCUAAAAUCAGAACUACCACACAACAAUCACAAUUCACACUUGAAGGGAGAGGACAGUGAGAACACGAGGGAUCCAAAACCCUGCAGAGUGAAACAGCAUGAUACUGAAGAACAAAGAGAAUCACUCUAGGGCAGUGGUUCUCAACCGGGGGCCCACUAGGGAGCCUCAGGAAACUUCCAAAUUGGCCUUAAGAUGAUGGAAAAAAAAGGCCCUUUCACACAAAACACGAACUGAACCAGUGUAUUCAUUCCUAUAAAUCCAUUCAUACCAGGC